CACAGGAGAGCUCGUAACACAGCAUCUUUUCUUCACGUGGGCCCCAGUUAUUGUUACAGACUUUCCCCCAUCUGCCACCACGGUACACCUCCAAAUUGCCAGAGCAGCGGUCAGUUUGAGCGGUUACUCU